AGAAUUCGGACCGGCGCACUCCUCCUCCCAGCGCUUGUCCGAUACGAUUGGCAACAACUCCUCCUCCCAGUUGCCAAUCAUCCCAAAUGACGCCCGCCGGACCUCCUCCCCUGGCGGGCGUUAUUG
rnacentral:sRNA from 1 species